UAGGGAAUCUUCGGCAAUGGACGAAAGUCUGACCGAGCAACGCCGCGUGAGUGAAGAAGGUUUUCGGAUCGUAAAACUCUGUUGUAAGAGAAGAACGUGUGUGAGAGUGGAAAGUUCACACAGUGACGGUAACUUACCAGAAAGGGACGGCUGACUACGUGCCAG
rnacentral:rRNA from 1 species